rnacentral:rRNA from 1 species
GCGGGGGCAACCCUGGCGACGAGUGGCGAACGGGUGAGUAAUACAUCGGAACGUACCUGGUAGUGGGGGAUAGCCCGGCGAAAGCCGGAUUAAUACCGCAUACGCACCACGGUGGAAAGCGGGGGACCGCAAGGCCUCGCGCUAUCAGAGCGGCCGAUGGCAGAUUAGCUAGUUGGUGGGGUAAAAGCCUACCAAGGCGACGAUCUGUAGCUGGUCUGAGAGGACGACCAGCCACACUGGGACUGAGACACGGCCCAGACUCCUACGGGAGGCAGCAGUGGGGAAUUUUGGACAAUGGGCGCAAGCCUGAUCCAGCCAUUCCGCGUGCAGGACGAAGGCCUUCGGGUUGUAAACUGCUUUUGUACGGAACGAAAAGGCUCUGGUUAAUACCCGGGGCUCAUGACGGUACCGUAAGAAUAAGCACCGGCUAACUACGUGCCAGCAGCCGCGGUAAUACGUAGGGUGCAAGCGUUAAUCGGAAUUACUGGGCGUAAAGCGUGCGCAGGCGGUGAUGUAAGACAGAUGUGAAAUCCCCGGGCUCAACCUGGGAACUGCAUUUGUGACUGCAUGACUGGAGUGCGGCAGAGGGGGAUGGAAUUCCGCGUGUAGCAGUGAAAUGCGUAGAGAUGCGGAGGAACACCGAUGGCGAAGGCAGCCUCCUGGGAUAACACUGACGCUCAUGCACGAAAGCGUGGGGAGCAAACAGGAUUAGAUA